UGCAGCUCCCGUGGAAAGAAUUGUUGCCAGGGUUUCAGCGGUGACUCACAGCCUCCGAGACAGGAUCCCUUGUUAGCAGGGGGCUGUCUGGGGAACGCUCGCCCCGCGUUGCCAGGCGCCUCGACCAGAGGGACCUGCACCUCCUCCCGCUGCUUCCAUUUGUUUUCCGAAACACGGUCCGGGUGUACGUGCAUGGGGCUGAGCAAUGUGUGUCCCUAAAGGGCUCUGUUUUAAGAGACAGGAGAGGCUGGGGAGGGUCUGCAUGCAGAUAUCUGGCUGUGCCACCGAGUGUCCUGGGGGUUACCUGUGGCCUUUUGCUGCCUGGAUGUCCUUGGCAUGCUGGGGGCCCGGCAUGGCAGGGUGAUGUUGGGCUGUCCUUGACCAGGCGUGCACCCCUAGGAAGGAGAAUUUGGGAUGGGCAGGGAACAAACUCGCUCAAGCUAUUUUAGCUCUCACUUUCCCUCCAAGCUUUAAGGCAUGCUUUAACCUUCAAGGUAUUCUUCUGUUUUCUUUCCAACAUCUGAUUUGGAAGGCUUUUCUUUCCAACAAAAUAGGAACAAAGUUGUACUUCCCCCCAUGCCUUGGCUGAGGCAGUCUGCCACCCCCAGCCCAAGGCCCCACAUCCAAGGGAAGACCUGUGAAGGAGGAGGUCCAUCCCAGGGCGAUGCAGUCGGUUUGCCUGGGUUGGGAUGGAACAUCCAUGCUGAGCAGGAAGGGAGCUGCUCCUGCCGGGCUGCCUCACCACGUCCCAGCAGCCCCUGUCAUUUCUGAGAUAGAUUUGCUCAACUCAAUUCAUCCUCAGCCUCCAAACAGCUCACAGAGGCCCAGAGAACAAAGGAAGAAACCUCUUCUCCCUUCAGCAGCACUUCCCUCCUCGUGCUGCUGGGUUUUGAUGUCCAUAAGUCCCUCCUCCCCAUGGAAGACAAAACCCAAGAAAGAAAUCAUGGGGCUUAUUUUCUGAGGCCAGAGUCCUAGCGGGACCUCAUUUUAAAUCACCUAAAUUUGAGGGAUAUGUAUUUUAAAUGCGACGCUAUAAAAACCCAGUAAAUAUUUAAUUUUAUUUUUAUUAAAUACUAAAAUGAUGAUGGCUGACACUUUAUUAAAGUGUCAAAGUGAGUGUUCCUACAUUCUAAUUACUUAUCCUAACAAGGAGGCAGCCUCGUCAGGAGCCGCACGCUGGCGUGCGCAGGCGAGGGGCACUCCCGUUAAGUAACACCUAUUAAACUAUCAUUUGCACCUUGAGGCAUCUCAUUAAUAUCUCAACUGGUGAGACUGCACUGCCAGUGCCUACCUGACCCGGGGCACUGACAGGAGAAAUGGCUCCAGGAGUCCCUUCCUCACUCCAGGCUUUCCCGCACAAAUAAUUCCUAUAAAAUUAAUAAUGGCUAUUCCACUUAAUUGAAUUCCUGAUAAAUGAAGAUUCUUCCAAGCCCCUUUUACAUACAUCCAAGAGAUGCAAGAGGAUUGCUGCACUAUGCUAUGGGGAAAGUUUUGUUCUCCACUCUCCUCCUUGCUUUCUUUAUCUCUCCAACCCUCUUUCCACCCUACCUGUGUCCUCCUGCUCCCUCCCCAUCAGUCUUUUCCUCCUCCUCCCAUACCUGCCUUCUCUCUUCUGCAGCAAUUUCUCUUCCGACUCUUCCAUUUGGCUCCCUCCCACUUCUCCAACUCUGCCAUGAUCUAUCUUUACGGUAUCACCACCAUUCAUCUUCCUUCUAUAGGUUUCUCUUUUCUCUCUUCUCUCCCCAUCUUUCUUGCCCUUUCUCCUGGCUUCCAUUUUGCUUUUCAUCCCACCAAUAACAGCCAUUUUUCUCAGGUUUCCUUUCAGGCCUUGGCUAUGUUACCUUGGAGGAAUGUUCUCAUGGUGUGAGAUCUCUGUUGGAUGUGGACAUGGCAGCGCAUCUUCAGAUCCAUCUGCCCACCAAGAAGAGAUGUCCUCCCUCAAACUGGAGAUUGCCAUAGCCAAAAAGCCCUCAAGGAAUCUGCAGAUCUUCUCUCAUCCCAUCUUCCCCGUGGAUGGGAAAACAACUGUGUAAGAAGAGAAGGAACCUGUCCUCAAGAUAUGGUCAAAUCUGUCACCACCCGGUUGCCAAAUCAUUGCGAGAGAGGAGAGGCUACUUCUUCUGUACUAAAGGUGACUCACAAGCAGCAUCGCUCCGGGAAAGUUAAAAGUGAUAAUUCAAUAAGACUCGAGGAUUGUGUGGGACUCAAGGAGGGAUAAAACAGACUUGCAGGGAGCUCUCUUUCCUCUGUCUCCUAGUGAUGGAUGGAGCUGGAAAACCUGGUCAGUUCAGAGAUGGACUGAUGAGAGAUGGAACGGGAUCACAUCUUGGUGAACACACAGGUAGGUGGGAAGCGGCUGCUCUGUGAUGAUGGCUGAGAGCUCAGCAGGGCUCAAUUAGAGGCUGGGCAUUUGUAUGGAUAGCUAUAUUCAAAGCGUCAGUAUUAAUAAAAAUAUUAUGAAUAUUAAUGUUAACAAUAAUCGAUAUUUUAAAGAAGAAAGAGCAAACAGAGGAAGAGGUCCGUGGAGUGUUUCUGGGUGUCUGUGCCAGGACUCAGCCAACCCACCAGCACUGGGGCACCUGGAAACAGGGCUGUGUUAUCCCCAGUUUGCAGUAGAGUGGUGUGUUUCUGUUCAUGCAUACGCCUGUGGUGGCUUCCAGAAUAGGGUGAGAGCGGUGGGAUGGGCAGAGGAGGAGAGUUAGGCAGAGGAAGAAAAGACUGGUUUUGCAGAGGCAGUAUGAAAGCCAGUGGGGAGGAUGGGAAUGACCUGAAAGGAAGAAGAAUGCGUCAUGUGUGUCCAUGUGUGCCAUGGCUGGAAGUGCAGGCACGUGGUGGCCCAGGACACCGGCUCACCCUGUCUCCAUCACAGAGACACAGUUCUGGGGCUGGGGAUGCAGGACAGGGUGCUGCUCCAGCACUCUGCCUCCCCAUCCUCCUCGCACGGUGGUGGACGGGCCAGGCUGCUCGGAGCUACAGCUGCCCGGCUUCAGCUUAGUGUUUAUUUUCCAGGCUGAAAGGACGCUUGUGAUCCCAAAGCCCUUCUGUGUUUAGCCAGACCUCUCAUUCACUUGCAGAGGAAACCCAUGUCAGCCGCUCCCCUUUGUCUCCCCUGAGCUAUUGCUUUGAAUCUGAAAGGAUUGGGUGCAGAUUUCAAGGGAUGUUCAGACAAAGGCUGUUUGAACAGCACUUGUGUAAAUAAUCCAUGAAAAACUCUUUGAAUAACCUCAAUGAAA